rnacentral:rRNA from 1 species
GACAGAGGCCUCAAGCGUUAGGCGGAAUCACUGGGCUUAAAGCGUGUGUAGGCGGAUCGUUAAGUACCUUGUGAAAUCCCACGGCUCACCCGUGGAACUGCUGGGUAUACUGGCGAUCUUGGGCCAACUAGGGGCAGCUGGAACAAGCGGUGGAGCGGUGAAAUGCGUAGAUAUCGCUUGGAACGCCAAAGGUGAAAACAGGCUGCUGGGGGUUGUGCCGACGCUGAGACACGAAAGCCAGGGGAGCAAACGGG